rnacentral:rRNA from 1 species
UACAUGGGGUGCAAACGUUGCUCGGAAUUAUUGGGCGUAAAGCGCACGUAGGUGGUCUGUUAUGUCAGAUGUGAAAGCCCUCGGCUUAACUGAGGAAGUGCACCUGAAACUGGCAGGCUUGAGUACGAAAGAGGGUCGCGGAAUUCCCGGUGUAGAGGUGAAAUUCGUAGAUAUCGGGAGGAACACCGGUGGCGAAGGCGGGUCUCUGGACAGUUCCUGACGCUGAGGCACGAAGGCCAGGGGGAGCAAACGGGG